AGAACGAACGCUGGCGGCAUGCCUAAUACAUGCAAGUCGAACGAACACUUCGGUGUUAGUGGCGCACGGGUGCGUAACGCGUGGGAAUCUGCCCUUGGGUUCGGAAUAACAGUUGGAAACGACUGCUAAUACCGGAUGAUAUCGAAAGAUCAAAGAUUUAUCGCCCAGGGAUGAGCCCGCGUAGGAUUAGCUAGUUGGUGAGGUAAAGGCUCACCAAGGCGACGAUCCUUAGCUGGUCUGAGAGGAUGAUCAGCCACACUGGGACUGAGACACGGCCCAGACUCCUACGGGAGGCAGCAGUAGGGAAUAUUGGACAAUGGGCGCAAGCCUGAUCCAGCAAUGCCGCGUGAGUGAUGAAGGCCUUAGGGUGUAAAGCUCUUUUACCCGAGAUGAUAAUGACAGUAUCGGAGAAUAAGCCCGGCUAACUCCGUGCCAGCAGCCGC
rnacentral:rRNA from 1 species